rnacentral:rRNA from 1 species
GUCUACGGCCAUGCCACCCUGAACAAGCCCAAUCCCAUCUGAGUUUGGAAGCUAAGCAGGGUCGGGCCUGGUUAGUACUUGGAUGGGAGAUCACCUAGAAAGACCAGGUGAUGUAGGCA